AUGGUGCUUCCGUGGCUGAGUAGGGUGGGUUUCUUUCGUUUUUCUCACGUUGGUGUUUUCUGGACAACUGUACUGAGCGCGUUGAUGGCAUCGGUGCUCUGCCUGUGCCCGUGGGCAGAGGACAUAGGCUGUGGGUGUGUCCCGCCCACAGGCGCGCGUGACCUAUGCAACGUGAACACAAUGAGGACAAUGACCUUUAUUAUGAUCCAUUUCCGCUUAAUAAAUAUCACAGGCAGCACUGGAUCAGAGCAGGCCACCUCACAUGGGACCUGCUGCAGUACAACUUCCAGCAUGGAGGAGCAGAGCAAGAUGUUGGCUUGCUGUGGGAGACGAGAGACACCCAUGCCUCUGACCUCUAUAUCUGUUACAGAACCCUGGCAACCACAACUCCAUUUUUCAUUUCUAUGAAUUUGACCACUUUGGAUAUCUCAUAGCUCUCUCCUUCAGCUACUAAACCUAAUGGUUGAUACAGCUAUGAGCAAGAGAGUCAGCCAAAAGCAACAACAACAACAACAACAAAAAACCUUUAAGAAGCAAAUACAGAUGCCACGAUGUCUUGCACCAUAUUUCACAUAUUAAAGACAAAGAUAAUGCUUCAUUACCUCAUGUAAUUUCAAUGUCAGUUUAUCUGGUUUUCUAGCCUGUUAGAAUUUGAAUUUGGAAUAUUAAAUUGACUACUAGACAAAGGAAUAUUGAUAGUAUUAAAUAGCUAUAGCUGAAGACACGAAGAGAUAAAAAUAAAUAAAUAUUAAGUACAAGAAAUAUUUUCACUUACAUGGAAACCUUAUUCACUUUUAGUGCCAGAUAGACAGGGGGUCAUUAUAUUUUGUAAAAUAGUGAGGGUCUGCAUAUGGGGGUUGAAAAUUUCCCCACUCCCUUAAGUGCUUAAAAAUAAUAUUGAUGAGCCCAAAUUUGGAGGCUUUGUUUUCUGAGUGAUUCUAUAAAAGAAAAGAGAGACCAUAAUAGCGAUUCCCUUUUAAAUCAUUUGCCCUUUCAUUUGUUUUAUUUUAUUUUUCAUGAAAAUUUUAAUAUAUCUUGUCUCCUUGCCCUUUUCUCUUCAGAGAGCCAUUUAAUGUCUGUCAAAUGUCAUGUUACAUGUUAUAAUAACACCACAUGGUUAUAUAUAAUACCAUAAAAUAUAUGGGUAUGACAGCUACUCAUAACCAUGCCAAUGAUGAUGAUCAGAUUCUAUCAUCCAUUUUUAAAAGUCUAUAUGACAUUUACAUCAUAGGCUACUUCUGUACUCAUCUCUGUGGUGGUAAUUUUUAAAAUCAUCUUUCUUUUUUCUUUUCUUUGAAAUUAACCAUUGCAUGGAAAAAAGAUAAUACAAAGCAAAAAUUAUGUUUGAUAAAUUUAAAGAUACAUUUUUUUCAAUCUCAAUUUUUUUGUAUUAAACAUCUGUAGUCAUUGCAUAAAUUUUAGGCCAUCUGAAACAAAUUAUCUGUGACUAUAAGGUAAUGAUUCCCAAAUAUGUGAUUUUAGAAAAUUUGCCAGAAAGAAUUCAGAAAGGAAGUACAAAUCUAUUAUUUUAUGGAGGAAUAAAUCAAAACAAGACUAUACUACAUAUGUUAAACUAGGAAAUAUUGAACAAAAUGAAAAAUAUCUAUGAAGGAAGAAGUAGAAUAAAAAGUUGUAUCUGGAAAAAAAUGAAAAAGUAGAGGAAUUUUUAAAAGCUUUCCAUUUUAAUGACCUGAUAAUGGGAGAAAGUGAAGUCAUGUGUGAGUUGAUUUGCUGUAGUCACAUGAGAACUGCAUUUAGUUUCAGACCUGCUGCAUUUGGAUCUGUGGAAUGACCUUAGAAGGAAUCCUAAGUGACUAAAUUUCAUGCAACAAUCAUUAUUGUGGGCAUUUUCAGUUGAUGCCCCUCUGUCUUUCUAGACUCUUAUAUUUUUAACAACUUUUACAUUUUUCAUGUGUUUCGUGAAAAAACUUAUAAUAAAGAUUUUACCCAAUUGUAGCAGAAAGUCUUAAACAGAACUGAAAUACCUCAAUCAUUCUCUUUUGAUGUCUCUUAGAAAUUAGGUAAAUUAAAGCCACUCAUAAUGUUACACUAUAAGAACUUAACAUGAAGGAAACAAAAUGCUUAAUAUUCGAAGCAUGACCCAAAUACUCAACACAAAGAGAUUUGACAGAAAAGACUUUUGCUGAACUCUGUGGAGAACUAUCGUUGGGAAGAAAAAGCCCAAUAAAUAAAUAAAGUUAAAAAAUAAAACCUCAAACUAAGCCAACCAAAUAUAAACUCAGUGGUUACCUAACUUAUACUUCAUGUCAUUUUGUUUCAUGGUAAAGCAAUGGCUAAUUAGAAUUUUUAAAUAAAACUGUAUAAAACUGUGUGACUCUUUUUUUUUUUUUUUUUUUUUUUACUUUGCAUCUUCUUCGUCAGGUAUCUGCAAAUACUAUUCAUGUCAAUUGUCUCAGAGAAAAAUAUAGACUAAUUAAAAUGCUAAUCUUUAGUAAACACAUAAGUACUUGCAUGAAAAUUAAACACUUGGGUUGCUAAUUCAUGAAUACGUGCUCAGACAUCAGGAACACUGCAAGUAGUGUGGACUUCAGUCUUCGGCUUAACAGCCUCGUCUACAUGUCAAAUCCACUUCAGGGCUGAGAGUAUCUACCAUUGAAAUCACCCAGUGUGCCUGCUCUCAAGAUUAUCUAAGGAGAAAAGAAAAGUGAUGUGCACUUUGAGAAGAUUAUUUAAAGCCUGCAGAUUCAUUAGGGGAGAACUUAAUUGUGAUCGAAUCUAUAAUCCUUUCAGUUCAUCCUAUAAAUAAUAACAGUCUGAACUCUAUUGAAUCACAUGGCCUCUUUUGCACAAACCUAUAGAAGAGAGUCCUCAAAAUUGAAUAGAUGGAAUUGAAUGGACCUGGGAAGUGGGAACUAGAAUUUGAUGGACAGCCUUUCACCUCUAGGUUAUUGGUUUGUAUCUGACCCAGGUGAUGAAAAGUCGUUGUUCUACAAUGGCUGUUUAGUAGGUUUCUGUGUAAUGAGCUGUUGGCUUCAGUCCAUUCCUCAGUAGACAGGUGUCUGAUCACAUUCCCAAAUCACCACUCCACUUGUCAGUCACAUUUGAGGUCAAGCGCUAAAUAGGAACCGAGGCUGAAAUACUUUCUCAUUCUGAUGAGUACAGGCCUUCCUUUGUUGGUUGACUUAGUUGGAAAACAAAAACUGCCAUAGUCACUGUUCAUGCUCUGCCUAUAUUCUAUGUAAGAAGAUUUUAUUGUUUAGGACUUCUAUCAUAAUGAAAAAUUAUUAGGUUCUUCAAAGUUCAUGUUUUAUUGUUACAUGUCAUAGAAAGAGAGGCACCUAAAUACUGUCCCAGUCCCAAAGGACAUAAAAAUUUAAAUUUAUUAAUCUAACUGUAAGAGAAAUAUGUCAUACUGAGAAAGCAUUGGCAUCUGGUUUUAAUUCACUGAUACAGAAGAAUUGUAAUGUAGAUUCCAAAUUCUCAGUAAAAAAACACCUGGCAGUUAGAAGAUAGCCAGCAGCUGAACAUUAUAUGAUCUUUUUUGGCUGGAAGAACAGCUGUCUUUGAGGUGGGAAGUAGAAAAAGACAUGUAGAAAAGUUUCUAUUUAAUGCCUUUUGAGAUUUAUAAAGUGGGUAUAAGCUUCUUUAAAUUUGUUUUAAAUACUUUUGUUUCUAUAUUGUCCACCAUUAUACAAUUAUGAAUUUAUAUUUAUUAGCAUUUCUGAAAAAGUUUGUGGCUUAGAGUGAUAGGUCAAGUCCAGAAGCCAGAGAACUCAGAUGUUUUAACCCUAAACAUUUGUGAGGGUUUUCUGCCACUGAUAUAUAAAGUCAUUUCUCAUACAAAUUGACUGCAUGUUUCAGACAACUAUAUGUUUUAAGUAAGAGUUAUGCAACUCUUGUUCACUGGCUUCUGUUGAUCUGGUCUUUUCACUUAAGAAAAAUAGUACCAACUUGGGUCAUCUUAUUGUCUUUCCUGGUGGGGUUUAUUGUUAAAUACAUUUCUAACUUGUUAAAAGUAACUGGAUUGAAUGACAAACUUUAAAUCAAUCUUAAUUAUCAUAUGUCUCCUAGCUCAUUUUUAAGCUUGAAUGUGAUUAAAUAUUACUAGCUAGCUCAUUACACUGUCUCUUUUACUCACAGUUCUAAUAGCGAAUAUUCUAUUGCUAUAGUCCUUAGAAACUGAAAAAAUG
ensembl:lncRNA